AUGGCUUACCAUUACACAAUGCAAAGUCAAAAAUGUCUUCCAUGUUUAUUAAAGUUGAUCUGUCUGCAUUUCCUUCAGAAGUUAAAGAAUGGUUUUGCUCUAUGUGAAGAAAAUUACUGCCUCUGUUGGUUGCAGUUGGAGGGGUCCUGGCCGAGGAAAGGAAGACUAGAAAUUUUGAGAGCAUUAAAAUGAUGUUUCAGAAUGACAAAAGGAAGUGAUCACUGGUGUACAUCAGGCUGACUUAACCACAGGCUUCACUGGCAGCGUGCAAAAGAGGUUUUGUAAAUGUAACGUUAAGAAUAAAUGGCGGUUAUUCUCCA
rnacentral:lncRNA from 1 species